UAUGCUUGAGCAGGAUGAAGUCAGAGGAAACUCUAAUGGAGGUCUAUUUUAAUUCUAAUAUGCAAAUCAAUCAUCCAACCUAGACAUA
rnacentral:ncRNA from 1 species